CUUAUAUCUGCUUCCAAGACUGCUACAAUUACCUGAAGCAAGAAACGAGCACUCUAAACUAAGGUAGACUAUGGGAAGACCUUUAGAAGUUCUCAGUGACCUCCCACCUAGCUCUCUAAACCUAUUUCUCUCAUUCCAAACCCUCGCUAUUCUAUUCCUCUUCCUCAUCUGUACUGAGAAACUGCGGUCAGCACCUCAGGGUGGCUACAUAAUUUGUGGGGCCCAGGGUAAACGAAAAUGCAAGGCUCCUUGUUCAAAAAUUACCAAGAAUUCCAAGACGGCAACAGCAGAGCGUUAAACCAAGUCCAGGGUGGUUCUGAGCACGGGGCCGUGGGCAGCUGCACAGCUUCACACCCACGACGUCAGCGUUCUGUGUCCGCGUUUCCGCGUUCGGCCUUGCAGACUUCUGAGGACGCCAUCGCGGAUCCUGAUUCCCAGACACUGCCAAGAGCUCAUUUUCGUUUCUCCCAUGGUGACAUCAUCUUGUGUCCUCCCUGUUGGUGGUAGCCGGUUCUCCUCGUUGUUUAGCUAACUUUCCACCUUCUCUGAAACUCUGCAGCAACCGUCCCUCCCCAGCCUUUUUCCUAAACGUGUAUCUGGAAUCCACUGAAGACGGUAGGUAAGUUCAGAGUGUAUGCCCUCGAGACAGGGUUUUUCCCUGUUCUUUAUCGUUCUACUAAAAGCAGAAGAGUCAUCUCUACGUCACUGAAAGAGAGCAUCCGUGGUGGCCGUGACAAAGAGAGUUUCAUCCGUAGCCAAGAGGGGCAUUGGGGACCGCAGUUUCGGCAAAGGAGAAAGGAGAAACCCCAGGGAGCAUCAUGGUAACGCCAUGUCUGUGAGGCUGGGCUGAUGCCAUGGCUGUGGUCUGGAAACAGGACUGGAGGACCUCAAGUGGCCCUUCUGGGACUUAGGUUGAAGGGAGCAGUGCGGACAGUUGAGCACCGGGACGCGGCAGUGAGAGAGAGGGAGGCCUUGUCUGUGGACCAUUUAGGGUUUCUGGGGGAAGCUAUUUGGGGCCAGCACUUUCCUAGGUAGUUUGCAAAAUGGGGGCUUAAGAGAACAUUACCCUCUGCCCAGAACAACUAAGGAGUCACAUUUGGAUGGAAUACCAACCUGUGAGAGCCCGGAAGGAAGAGAGACCUUCAGAGUUUGGGACCCAGCUGGUCACCAAGUGAACAGAAUGAGCAGCGAAGCUCCCUUUGAACCUCCUCAGAGUCAUCUUUUACCACAAAAAGGUGUACAAACUCGUCAUGAAAAAAUACUUAAUCAAUAGACUCUUCUCUGUCUUUUAAGUCUGUUUUUCUGAAUCUCAUUCAGAAACUGCAAAGUUGGUGUAUUUUUCCUGGGUCAUAAUCGAUCUGGUUUUGCUAACUUUAGCAAAUGUUGUUUUGUACAGAAAUCAGUCCAGCAUGUCUAGUCC
rnacentral:lncRNA from 1 species